CUCUUGACAUCCAGAGAACUUUCCAGAGAUGGAUUGGUGCCUUCGGGAACUCUGAGACAGGUGCUGCAUGGCUGUCGUCAGCUCGUGUUGUGAAAUGUUGGGUUAAGUCCGCAACGAGCGCAACCCCUAUCCUUUGUUGCCAGCGAUUCGGUCGGGAACUCAAAGGAGACUGCCGGUGAUAAACCGGAGGAAGGUGGGGAUGACGUCAAGUCAUCAUGGCCCUUACGAGUAGGGCUACACACGUGCUACAAUGGCGUAUACAAAGAGAAGCGACCUCGCGAGAGCAAGCGGACCUCAUAAAGUACGUCGUAGUCCGGAUUGGAGUCUGCAACUCGACUCCAUGAAGUCGGAAUCGCUAGUAAUCGUAGAUCAGAAUGCUACGGUGAAUACGUUCCCGGGCCUUGUACACACCGCCCGUCACACCAUGGGAGUGGGUUGCAAAAGAAGUAGAUAGCUUAACCUUCGGGAGGGCGUUUACCACUUUGUGAUUCAUGACUGGGGUGAAGUCGUAACAAGGUAAGCGUAGCGAG
rnacentral:rRNA from 1 species